rnacentral:rRNA from 1 species
UACGUAGGGGGCAAGCGUUGUUCGGAAUUACUGGGCGUAAAGGGCGCGUAGGCGGCCUUCUAAGUCGAACGUGAAAUCCCCGGCUCAACCGGUGGAACUGCGUCCGAUACUGGCAGGCUUGAAUCCGGGAGAGGGAUGCGGAAUUCCAGGUGUAGCGGUGAAAUGCGUAGAUAUCUGGAGGAACACCGUGGCGAAGGCGG